GUGCAAACGUUGUUCGGAAUUACUGGGCGUAAAGCGCGUGUAGGCUGCUCGGAAAGUCGGAUGUGAAAGCCCUGGGCUCAACCUAGGAAGUGCAUUCGAAACUUCCGAGCUGGAGUCCUGGAGAGGAAGGCGGAAUUCUCGGUGUAGAGGUGAAAUUCGUAGAUAUCGAGAGGAACACCGGUGGCGAAGGCGGCCUUCUGGACAGUGACUGACGCUGAGACGCGAAAGCGUGGGGAGCAAGCGGG
rnacentral:rRNA from 1 species